GUUGAUGAAGGCGUUCUGGAGCAGGACCAGAAAGACCACGACCAAGCAGCCUUGAGAUCUUAGGCAGCGUCUCCCUCAGGUCCCUCUCUAUCUCCCCACACAUCCACCAACCACUGGAACACAUCUCCAAAGUUCUGCUGGACCAGCUCAGCUUCCCCUCAGAAGAAGUGCUGCCACCUGCCAGAUGAAGGAGCCUUUUGAGAGGCAGCUGGCAUCGUGAUUGGACUGUACUUUGGUCUGUUCCAAUCCAGCUUCAGCUCCAGAGACGGCAGGCGGGACGAGUCAACGGAGGCCUGGUGGACGAAGGCAUGCAGCUGAGUACAAUCCAGAAAACAACAGAGGAGGAGUGCAGCAGCCCAGUAUAGCCUUCGACCAAAGAACUACAGACUCUUCACAACCUGCUCAAACUCUUGGUACAGGACCUCACCACACGGGUCAAGAAGGUUGCUUUGUAGAACUGUUCCAGAAAACCUCACUAAACCACAUGGAGGGGCCUCAAGAUAGUCAUCCAAAUGAAACCAUACAAAAACCAAACUAGCACAACCUAAACACUAAAGUCUCCUGCAGCCUACCAGAGAACCUCUGAGAACAGAGAAUCAGGACAGGAACUCUUACCUUCUGGACAACCAACGUUGGUUCACCAACAAGAAUACAGAAUGUGUCUGACCAAAAACCUCUGAAGACUCACUACAGCCAAGAUAAAGACACAACUCACCUGCACCAAAUCCACUAAUCAUUGCACACAUUAACACCAUGUGCUAACUGUGGCUAAAGAACCACAUUUACCAAGACAACUAUCCAGUACAAAGCCCUAAAACACACCAAGAAACACAUUAAAGAUGAUUUUACUGCUGGAAGCUGCAAGCCAACGCCUAAAGAACAAACUAAAGCAAUGGAGCCAAACCCGGUUUAGUGGUGAAGAGAAGCAGAAGAAAUGUUUGUCUGCAGCUAAAUAAAGCAGGAAGACACCGAGCUGCUCAGGUGUUCCUGAUAACACCAAGCAGCCACCUGGACAGCCAAUAGGAACACAGCUUCCUGGAAGUUUUGCACAGACAAUUUGCACAGACAUUCUUGCACUGC
ensembl:lncRNA